UUCAUCCAUGGGCAUGGCAGUUACUGUUAAGCAAUGAUGACCUGCUUUCCUGCUGAGCAUGGAAGCAGCCUCAGAAAACAUUGCAUCUCAUCAAAAGAGUCAAGUAAUCCACUGGGCAGAUGGGAUAAAACUUAUUUCCUGACUGUUUUGGGCUAUGAUUUCUUAAAGGACAAACUUGAAGGGCUCAGAUUCAAGCCUUGUGACAAGAAAUAGCUUCUAAGUCAAGAAAAAGUCAAUCAGGUUCAUCAAUUGUAACAAAUAUACCACAGACCGAUGCUAUGUCUGAUACACUGGACUAAAUUGAACAGUUGAAACUGCAGGAAAUGAAAAGCGUUAUGUUAUGGUGCCUGGCGAACCAUGAUGCCUGCCAGCUCUUCAGAUAAAGAGGAUCCACUUAUUAAUCUGCUCUGUCUCCAUCUGCCUGCUCAAUUGGGAUUGACUGCUUGCUGUCCAGACUGAUACCAGGGAAAUCUGAUUGAGGACAAGAAUGUCUUUGUACAUUUCCCCCACUGAUACAGCACAACAGGUCUGUUGCAGCCAGGGAGUUAAGCUGAUGUGACAUGAUGUCAGAUGGCCUGCCAUUGUA